rnacentral:rRNA from 1 species
CAGCAGCCACGGGAAUACGGAGGGUGCAAGCGUUAAUCGGAAUUACUGGGCGUAAAGCGCACGCAGGCGGUCUGUCAAGUCGGAUGUGAAAUCCCCGGGCUCAACCUGGGAACUGCAUUCGAAACUGGCAGGCUAGAGUCUUGUAGAGGGGGGUAGAAUUCCAGGUGUAGCGGUGAAAUGCGUAGAGAUCUGGAGGAAUACCGGUGGCGAAGGCAGCCCCCUGGACAAAGACUGACGCUCAGGUGCGAAAGCGUGGGGAGCAAACAGGAUUAGAUACCCGUGUAGUCCCUGUCUCUUAUAC